rnacentral:rRNA from 1 species
GAGCUUGCUCCCUUAGGUCAGCGGCGGACGGGUGAGUAACACGUGGGUAACCUGCCUGUAAGACUGGGAUAACUCCGGGAAACCGGGGCUAAUACCGGAUGCUUGAUUGAACCGCAUGGUUCCAAUCAUAAAAGGUGGCUUUUAGCUACCACUUACAGAUGGACCCGCGGCGCAUUUGCUAGUUGGUGAGGUAACGGCUCACCAAGGCGACGAUGCGUAGCCGACCUGAGAGGGUGAUCGGCCACACUGGGACUGAGACACGGCCCAGACUCCUACGGGAGGCAGCAGUGGGGAAUCUUCCGCAAUGGACGAAAGUCUGACGGAGCAACGCCGCGUGAGUGAUGAAGGUUUUCGGAUCGUAAAACUCUGUUGUUAGGGAAAGAACAAGUACCGUUCGAAUAGGGCGGCACCUUGACGGUACCUAACCAGAAAGCCACGGCUAACUACGUGCCAGCAGCCGCGGUAAUACGUAGGUGGCAAGCGUUGUCCGGAAUUAUUGGGCGUAAAGCGCGCGCAGGCGGUUUCUUAAGUCUGAUGUGAAAGCCCCCGGCUCAACCGGGGAGGGUCAUUGGAAACUGGGGAACUUGAGUGCAGAAGAGGAGAGUGGAAUUCCACGUGUAGCGGUGAAAUGCGUAGAGAUGUGGAGGAACACCAGUGGCGAAGGCGACUCUCUGGU